AAGCUCGUAGUUGAACCUUGGGCCUGGCUGGCCGGUCCGCCUCACCGCGUGUACUGGUCCGGCCGGGCCUUUCCCUCUGUGGAACCCCAUGCCCUUCACUGGGUGUGGCGGGGAAACAGGACUUUUACUUUGAAAAAAUUAGAGUGCUCCAGGCAGGCCUAUGCUCGAAUACAUUAGCAUGGAAUAAUAGAAUAGGACGUGUGGUUCUAUUUUGUUGGUUUCUAGGACCGCCGUAAUGAUUAAUAGGGACAGUCGGGGGCAUCAGUAUUCAAUUGUCAGAGGUGAAAUUCUUGGAUUUAUUGAAGACUAACUACUGCGAAAGCAUUUGCCAAGGAUGUUUUCAUUAAUCAGGAACGAAAGUUAGGGGAUCGAAGACGAUCAGAUACCGUCGUAGUCUUAACCAUAAACUAUGCCGACUAGGGAUCGGACGAUGUUAUUUUUUGACUCGUUCGGCAC
rnacentral:rRNA from 1 species